GAGAAGGCUCACUGAGCUCCAGAGAGCAAAGGCACAAGAGUGUGAGGGCUGGAGGAACAAGGAGGAAUAAAUCGAUACAACAAAAUCUAGACGGGAGCUUAUCUGCUGAGAUUGUUCGUUGAUAGAUGACGGUGGUGAAGCCCUUUACAAAAAACAAAUGGCUGCAGGUAGCUGAGCGGUGUGCAUACAGCCAAACAAUGAGGGAUAGCUUUGAUUAUGGAACUGCGUCAUCCAUUGCGCAACCAAAAAUGGGAAAACAAGUGUCUAUAUCUGCACAGAGCUACUACAAAAAAACAACUCAACUUCACAAGAGAAAAAAAAAAUCCAGUUGAUGGAGGAAAAAAAGCAGACAAAAAAAGGAGAGUGAUGGAAAAAAGAUAAGACAUAACUGAACCUUGGACGGGCAAGGUCCACUACGUGGAGAGUGCUGCAGGACUUGAGAGGCCUCAAAAAAGGGUUUGUGUCUUCUUUCUGCUGGAUCAGAUAGCAUGCACACAGAUACCUGCCGUCCCCACAGCAAAGCCGGCUACGCCAGCUGCCCUGGCUCCCGAAGAUAAACCCUAAACCUUGAAUGACAGGAUGAGCACUUUGUGCCCCCCCCCCCUCUCAUUUUCCCAUUCUUUUUUAUCUAGUCUAUGACUCUCUCAGCUGGGCCACUUCUGAUUCUUCCAACUCGACAGAUGUACAGAUCUCAUUAUGUCAAAGCCUUUGUGAUUGACAACCUAGUAUUUUCCCUCACGUGUAAAGUGCACAAUCACAAAACACGAAUGCUGAUAGGAGCCAAUCAGACGGCGAGGAUGUGAGGUUGUCCCUGCGUCUCUGAGGGCUGCAGUGGAAUAGGAUGGCGCGGUGCUCGGAGCCCAGGAAACACAUCGUGACGAAUUACAAGAAGAGAUAGUGGAGCUGGGUGAUAGGGGAGAUGAGACAGACCAGGUCUUUAAUGUGUUACCAGGGGAGCGUGUACAUGGGGUGAGUUAAAAAGGACCUGGGCCUCUAGAUUAGUUUUCAAUCAUGCAGCUGUGUUUAGUUGAUUAAUACUGAUCACUGUACAGGAUUACAUUAAAACCAUAGGACAUAAUUUAAACACUUCAUGUAUAUUGUCAGGAUUUUUUUCCUUUUCCAUGUAAAAUUAUUUUAAAGUUUUGCUGCCAUCCGCAAUAUUAGAUUUCAUCAUAUUCUGUACAGUUAAUAUACCCUGAUGCCAUUCAACGUAAAAUAUAAUCCACUUCACGUUAACUUCUGUAUUGAAAACCCUGGAUGACAGACAGAGGAAAGGUAAGCGAUGGGAGGUAUGUCAUUACAUAAAGCGGCAGGGCAAAUUAUACCCACGAUGCACUCCAGCGAGGCCGACGGCAAAUGUUUGUUUUAACACCAAUAGUAGACCCGAGUUCGAAAAUAAACAUUUGGCUCCCAGAUGUAGGAAACGGAAGCAAACAGCCGCCGGUUGAUGAGAUCAGGGAUGAUCCAAUGCGGGAGUCAAACAAAACUCCAAACAAGAGCAACACGUGGCACAAACUACUGGCUUUAACCUUUUUCGUUUUCCUUCUCUCCAGUCACUCACACGAGCACAUUUCCACACUGCAUAUUUUAAAAACGAGCGUUAUGCCAUAGGUAAAAUACUACAGUGGGAAACAAAAACAGGACUAAAGUACUGCGAGAAGUUUGCCUUCAUGGCGACUUCGAGAAGUCAGGUGAGGCAGAACUAACUAAUUAAGUCUGCAUUCAUGAAUUUGUUAAUUCAUCAUAGGAUUUUUGGUUUUGGUUUGGUUGAGGCAACAAAAUUAGCCUUUUUGCCAGGAAAAAGUCUUUAAGGCAAACUUCUCCCUUGUGCCGUGUCAACGUUCCUCUGACGUCUCCGCCCUCGACGUGGUUUCACAACAAUUCACACCUCCGUUCAUGUGAGUCUGACGACUCUGUUCCACGGCUCCCAAGUGAGCGCGACAACUCUCAUGUGAAGCUGAGCGGCAAAUCACUCACAAGGUUUAUGCGACCGCCAGUCGAUGCAACAGCGUGGGGCGCUACCAAUGAGUCUUACAACUUCA